CCCUUAGUUAUCCUAGGCCGUACGCGUGUUACAAUGACUUUUUCAGCAAGUUCUCCUGGCCCGAGAGGGUGCGGGUAAUCUGAAAUCAAAGUCGUGUUAGGGAUAGAUCUUUGCAAUUAUAGAUCUUGAACGAGGAUUUUGUAGUAAGUGCGCGUCAUCACCGCGUACUGACUGCGUCCCUGCUGUUUGUACACACCGCCCGUCGCUUCUACCGAUUGAAUGUUCCGGUGAGUAAUUUGGACCCGGGGGGGCUUGCUCCUCUGGGGAAGUUUCGCAAACCUAUGCAUUUAGAGGAAGAAGAAGUCGUAACA
rnacentral:rRNA from 1 species